UCCUAAAGAAAUUUUUAGGUUGCUUCUGCCCUAUGAAAGUAUUUAAAUGGCCGCAGUAUCCUGACUGUGCAAAGGUAGCAUAAUCAAUUGGCUUUUAAUUGAAGUCUAGAAUGAAGGAAGGAAUGGGAAAAUGCUGUCUCUAUUAAAAAUUAAAAUUAGUAAUAAAUUAUAGUUUAGGUUAAAAUUCCUAAAUACCAAAAAAAGACGAGAAGACCCCAGAAGCUUUAAUUAUAUAAAUAUUUAGUUUAAUUUUUUAGUUGGGGCGACUAUAAAAGACUAUGAAACUUUUAUAAUAAAGAUUACACCUAACGUAGUUUGAAAUUAAGAAUAAGCUACUCUGGGGAUAACAGCAUAAUAUGUAAAUGUGAUUAUGACCUCGAUGUUGGACUAAGAAUAAGAAUGGUCAGCCAC
rnacentral:rRNA from 1 species